GGUACAGAACUGUGAUCUCGGACAAUAUUUUUGUCAACAUCGGGGGGUUGUAGUGACUUUACCGGAGAGUAUUUGCACUCGAAAUGGCAAAGAUGAAUGUUGAAUAAUCGGACAUAGUGCGAUAAGGUUGUAUGUCUAAAGGGAAACAGCCCAGAACAAGAGUUAAGGUUCCAAAAUUAUCAUUGAGUGAAAUUAAGGAUGUUUUUUUUUAAUACAAUCAGGAAAUAGGCUUAGAAGCGGCCAUUUUUUGAAGACCUCGUAACAGAGCACUGAUUAAAGAAAAAAACACCGAAAAUUUAACGGAUCUAAAUGAUAUACCGAAACCUUGUACACAUAUGUAUAAUAAUAAAAUAUUGUCUAUGUGGGGUAGCGGAACAUUGGAUAAAUAUUCAUUAUUAUUUCUUUUUAAGAAAUAAUAAGUAUGGAUAAUAAUUAAUAAUAUUUAAAACUUAAUGUUUUAAGGAUAUUUAUAUAAUAUCGAAAAUAUGAUUUAUAUAAAUAUAUAGGAUGUAUAAUAUAUGUCUUUAUUAUUAAAAUUCUCCAUCAAUAUAAUCCAAGAGAGAAUGCUGACAUGAGUAACGAAAAAGGAAUAUCCUCGCCUUAAGCUUAUGGUAUUAUAUUUAAUUUUCGGUAUCUAAAAAUAUUAAUCAAAAGGUAAUUUUGAUGAUAUUUAUAUAUAAAUACUUAAAAGUUAAAAACAAAACCUUUANCAAGUAAUAAAGGUUCUGGAAAAUUUUUANCUUUAAUAAAAAAUUAUUAACUUAGCCUUAUGAAUAAAUCUAAAUAUGUUAUAUUGUAUUUUAUAAUAUAACUUGUUAAAGUUUUGCAAGANUGUAUUGUAAAAAAACAAUAUAAUAGAGUUUUAUAAAAAAGUUAAUAAUGGAGGGAUAUAUUUAUAUUGUUGUAUAAAUAUUAAGGCUAAUAUUCAAUAAAUAUAAGUAUAAUAAGGUUUAUAUAUACCGUACCUAGAUAGCAAUCACAAGUAAGCA
rnacentral:rRNA from 1 species